UAUUAUGCCCGCUUUAAAAAAAAACUGGGAACGAGGUCAACUCAUGACUUAAGUGACCGUUCAAAUAGUUUUUUCCCAGGUUUUUUUUAGUUCCCGGUUGUUUUGAACCCACAGAAGUCGAAGAUUUCUGAGUUCCCAGUUUCCAGUAGUUUUUAACGCGGCAUUUUAAAAAACAAGUUUAGACAUGGCAUAAAAAACACGAGCUCAAGGAUCGAGCAGGGCGAGAGGCGAGACUUUCAAUUUGAGUUUUCAGCAGCGGUUAAUCAAGAUGCCAGUCAUUUGUAGCAGCUGUGCUGAGAAGAGUGCAGUGCUGAAACGUCCAAAGCCGGCCCAUUCCUUGUGCAAAGAGUCCCUCUUCUGGGCCUUUGGGGAGGAGGUGCAUCAGACAAUAAUAUCAGCGCAGCUCUUCAAAGAUGGAGAGACUGUGGGCAUUGGUGCCUCUGGCGGGAAGGAUUCCACUGUGCUGGCCACCUCAGUAAACAAUGGACCUGAUCGGACAGCUCAGAGCUUCUGCUCUUUUCUGUCCAUAAAAAAACAAAUGGAUUGGUGGAAGAGGCACACCUCAUGAAGGUCCUAAAUGAGCGCUAUAACUAUGGCCUGAAACGAAUGCUGCUCUUAGUGGACGAGGGCAUGACAGGUAACCAUGAUGACUCCUUGGAGACUGAAGAGAAGCAGCAGUAGUAUGAACUACCUCUGAAGAUUGUGUCCUAUGAGGAGCUGUAUGGCUGGACCAUGGAUGCCAUAGUGAAGCAGAUCGGACUGAAGAACAAUUGCUCUUUCUGUGGAGUGUUCCCGAAGACAGGCUCUGGACAGGGGAGCCAUGAUGCUGAAGGUUGAUAAGAUAUGUGCAGGUAAUAUAUAAGACACAUUUAUUUCAGAUGUGUAGCCUAGUUUAAACGGUCCUUAAACAGUCCUGUGGCUACUUCUACAGCCAGGCGCUGUGUAAGUCCUGUGUUCUGCUGGAGGGCCUGAACUGUGACCUGCCUAGACUAGGAUAAUAAUAAUAUAAUAAUAAUAUAUGCCAUUUAGCUGACGCUUUUAUCCAAAGCGACUUACAGUCAUGUGUGCAUACAUUCUACGUAUGGGUGGUCCCGGGAAUCGAACCCACUACCCUGGCGUUACAAGCGCCAUGCUCUACCAACUGAGCUACAGAAGGACCACUAGGAAUCGGCAAGCACCACCGCCUCCACAGGAAGAUCCUCUCACAGCAGCCUCUGACCCAGGCAUAGGAGAGGAAACUCAAGGCUGUGGACUUCUGAGAGGCGUAUAGGCAGAACGUCUCAGCAUCACCUCCACUGUCUGUGAAGUUACACCUUGAAAUGAGUAACCGAAGAUGCCUCAACCAGAUGUGGAGUUGUUUUUAAGUUUUAGCUUGGAAUUGAAGUGAGACGUUACGUUGCCUCUAACAAAAGAGUAGCCAGCAUUUCCCCUUUUCAGCCACUGAACAAUGGGGAAGUGGUAAUGAUUAAAAAGGUCCUCCUUGCAGUUGAUGGAAUCUAAAUUCAAUUCACAUUUGGCUGUAUGGUCAGUUAAUUAUGAAACCUCUGACAGCUGAUGAUUGAAAUACAAGUACUUUGUGUGGUAUCUGUAUAAUAAAGCUAUUCUACAUUUG